CCAGACUCCUACGGGAGGCAGCAGUGAGGAAUAUUGGUCAAUGGCCGGAAGGCUGAACCAGCCAUGCCGCGUGAAGGUCAGUGCCCUAUGGGCGUUAAACUUCUUUUGUGCGGGAGCAAUAAUGGUCACGUGUGGCCAGACGAGAGUACCGUACGAAUAAGCAUCGGCUAACUCCGUGCCAGCAGCCGCGGUAAUACGGGGGAUGCAAGCGUUAUCCGGAUUUAUUGGGUUUAAAGGGAGCGUAGGCGGGUUGUUAAGUCAGUUGUGAAAGUUUGCGGCUCAACCGUAAAAUUGCAGUUGAUACUGGCAUCCUUGAGUACAGUAGAGGUAGGCGGAAUUCGUGGUGUAGCGGUGAAAUGCUUAGAUAUCACGAAGAACUCCGAUUGCGAAGGCAGCCUGCUGGACUGUAACUGACGCUGAUGCUCGAAAGUGUGGGUAUCAAACAGGAUUAGAUACCCGCGUACA
rnacentral:rRNA from 1 species